AAAUAAUCUGUUUUUGUUUUGUUUUGUUUUUUCAACUUUUUCAUGUAAUUAUAGGAAUAUUUAAUUGGAUUAAAAAAAAUUGCCGUCUGCUUCAAGUGAAAUAUCUAAAGGCAAGUCUACAGUGCCAUCAUUAAAAUCAGCCGAGGUGGGAAAUCAAGUAAGCAUCCCACAGUAAUUAUGUGUUCAAACUUUUACACCUGAGAGGCAGACUGUACAUUCAUAGCACAUGUAUGUGUCCAGGCUUUGGCAGUGGGAAUGUAAGCAAGCUUGCAGCUGUGAUCAACUCCCUUGGGAGGAAAAGAUGAUUACAUCAGCCAUGGAACCAGCAGAUUACAUGAAAUUCUACUUGGAGGAAUCACCAUAG
rnacentral:lncRNA from 1 species